rnacentral:rRNA from 1 species
UGGGGAAUUUUGGACAAUGGGCGAAAGCCUGAUCCAGCAAUGCCGCGUGUGUGAAGAAGGCCUUCGGGUUGUAAAGCACUUUUGUCCGGAAAGAAAUCCUUGGCUCUAAUACAGUCGGGGGAUGACGGUACCGGAAGAAUAAGCACCGGCUAACUACGUGCCAGCAGCCGCGGUAAUACGUAGGGUGCAAGCGUUAAUCGGAAUUACUGGGCGUAAAGCGUGCGCAGGCGGUUUGCUAAGACCGAUGUGAAAUCCCCGGGCUCAACCUGGGAACUGCAUUGGUGACUGGCAGGCUAGAGUAUGGCAGAGGGGGGUAGAAUUCCACGUGUAGCAGUGAAAUGCGUAGAGAUGUGGAGGAAUACCGAUGGCGAAGGCAGCCCCUUGGGCCAAUACUGACGCUCAUGCACGAAAGCGUGGGGAGCAAACAGGAUUAGAUACCCUGGUAGUCCACGCCCUAAACGAUGUCAACUAG